rnacentral:rRNA from 1 species
GACGAACGCUGGCGGCGUGCUUAACACAUGCAAGUCGAACGGAAAGGCCCUGCUUUUGUGGGGUGCUCGAGUGGCGAACGGGUGAGUAACACGUGAGUAACCUGCCCUUGACUUUGGGAUAACUUCAGGAAACUGGGGCUAAUACCGGAUAGGAGCUCCUGCUGCAUGGUGGGGGUUGGAAAGUUUCGGCGGUUGGGGAUGGACUCGCGGCUUAUCAGCUUGUUGGUGGGGUAGUGGCUUACCAAGGCUUUGACGGGUAGCCGGCCUGAGAGGGUGACCGGCCACAUUGGGACUGAGAUACGGCCGAGAGUCCUACGGGAGGCAGCAGUGGGGAAUAUUGCACAAUGGGCGGAAGCCUGAUGCAGCAACGCCGCGUGCGGGAUGACGGCCUUCGGGUUGUAAACCGCUUUCGCCUGUGACGAAGCGUGAGUGAAGGUAAUGGGUAAAGAAGCACCGGCUAACUACGUG